rnacentral:tRNA from 1 species
AGAAAAAUGGCUGAGAGGUUUAAAGCACCAAAUUGCUAAUUUGGUAUAUAAAUUAAUUAUUUAUAUCAAGGGUUCAAAUCCCUUUUUUUCUA